rnacentral:rRNA from 1 species
ACAAAUGCCCUGCUUCCAGGAAAAGCCUCUAAGCAUCAGGUAACAUCAAAUCGUACCCCAAACCGACACAGGUGGUCAGGUAGAGAAUACCAAGGCGCUUGAGAGAACUCGGGUGAAGGAACUAGGCAAAAUGGUGCCGUAACUUCGGGAGAAGGCACGCUGACACGUAGGUGAAGUGAUUUACUCAUGGAGCUGAAGUCAGUCGAAGAUACCAGCUGGCUGCAACUGUUUAUUAAAAACACAGCACUGUGCAAACACGAAAGUGGACGUAUACGGUGUGACGCCUGCCCGGUGCCGGAAGGUUAAUUGAUGGGGUCAGCGCAAGCGAAGCUCCUGAUCGAAGCCCCGGUAAACGGCGGCCGUAACUAUAACGGUCCUAAGGUAGCGAAAUUCCUUGUCGGGUAAGUUCCGACCUGCACGAAUGGCGUAAUGAUGGCCAGGCUGUCUCCACCCGAGACUCAGUGAAAUUGAACUCGCUGUGAAGAUGCAGUGUACCCGCGGCAAGACGGAAAGACCCCGUGAACCUUUACUAUAGCUUGACACUGAACAUUGAGCCUUGAUGUGUAGGAUAGGUGGGAGGCUUUGAAGCGUGGACGCCAGUCUGCGUGGAGCCGACCUUGAAAUACCACCCUUUAAUGUUUGAUGUUCUAACGUGGACCCGUGAUCCGGGUUGCGGACAGUGUCUGGUGGGUAGUUUGACUGGGGCGGUCUCCUCCUAAAGAGUAACGGAGGAGCACGAAGGUUGGCUAAUCCUGGUCGGACAUCAGGAGGUUAGUGCAAUGGCAUAAGCCAGCUUGACUGCGAGCGUGACGGCGCGAGCAGGUGCGAAAGCAGGUCAUAGUGAUCCGGUGGUUCUGAAUGGAAGGGCCAUCGCUCAACGGAUAAAAGGUACUCCGGGGAUAACAGGCUGAUACCGCCCAAGAGUUCAUAUCGACGGCGGUGUUUGGCACCUCGAUGUCGGCUCAUCACAUCCUGGGGCUGAAGUAGGUCCCAAGGGUAUGGCUGUUCGCCAUUUAAAGUGGUACGCGAGCUGGGUUUAGAACGUCGUGAGACAGUUCGGUCCCUAUCUGCCGUGGGCGCUGGAGAACUGAGGGGGGCUGCUCCUAGUACGAGAGGACCGGAGUGGACGCAUCACUGGUGUUCGGGUUGUCAUGCCAAUGGCACUGCCCGGUAGCUAAAUGCGGAAGAGAUAAGUGCUGAAAGCAUCUAAGCACGAAACUUGCCCCGAGAUGAGUUCUCCCUGAGACUUAGAGUCUCCUGAAGGAACGUUGAAGACGACGACGUUGAUAGGCCGGGUGUGUAAGCGCAGCGAUGCGUUGAGCUAACCGGUACUAAUGAACCGUGAGGCUUAACC